ACGACGCUGCGGCGUGCCUAAUACAUGCAAGUAGGACGCACAGUUUAUACCGUAGCUUGCUACACCAUAGACUGUGAGUUGCGAACGGGUGAGUAACGCGUAGGUAACCUGCCUAUUAGAGGGGGAUAACUAUUGGAAACGAUAGCUAAUACCGCAUAACAGUAUGUAACACAUGUUAGAUGCUUGAAAGAUGCAAUUGCAUCGCUAGUAGAUGGACCUGCGUUGUAUUAGCUAGUAGGUAGGGUAAUGGCCUACCUAGGCGACGAUACAUAGCCGACCUGAGAGGGUGAUCGGCCACACUGGGACUGAGACACGGCCCAGACUCCUACGGGAGGCAGUAGUAGGGAAUCUUCGGCAAUUGGGGGAACCCUGACCGAGCAACGCCGCGUGAGUGAAGAAGGUUUUCGGAUCGUAAAGCUCUGUUGUUAAGGAAGAACGAGUGUGAGAAUGGAAAGUUCAUACUGUGACGGUACUUAACCAGAAAGGGACGGCUAACUACGUG
rnacentral:rRNA from 1 species